UUUAUGAUAGUUUAAUUAAAACGUUGAUUUGUGGAAUCAAAAUUAUAUUCAUAUUUAAA
rnacentral:tRNA from 1 species